GUCCAAAAGAAAAAAACAAAGAAAACAAAACCUAGCUAGCUUCUCGACCCUCUCAACCCUCUCUCUCGACAUCAGUUUUACAAUAGCCUCCACGAAACCUAGCCUCUCUCUCUCUCUCAGUCCUCGCUCUCUGUUUCGUGAACCUCUCUCUCCAUCAAGUCUAGCCAUCUGCAAGCGUUUAACGAUGGCCAGCAAGAUUGGACUCUGCGACUCGACUCGUUCUCCAACUCGUUUCGGGGGAUCUCGAGCCUCUUGUCGUCGCCGUCGAAGACCUCGACGUGCAGCAACAGAUUCAUUCCAUGCCAGUAGUCGUCCGAGCUCCACUAGUUUAGGAUGAACGACAAGGCGUCGCCGGUGAAGGACGGCGGGAAUGAGGCCUACUCUGGCUGUUGAGAUUAGUGCUUUUUGGGUCUAAUUUCAAUUCUUUUCUGCUCCUGCAGGUGGCGUUGCCAAUAUGGACGGCGAGAACAUUCCGGGCCCAACUUCCCAAACCCUAGUGCUCCCAAUUCUUCCACCAUGCCAUGGACGGUGUAGCUGUGCCUGGGCUACUUCAAUUUGGCGUGGGCAACACAGUCAAGAUGAAACCGCUCAGAUUCUGGUUGAGUUAUUGGAGGUGGCAAUCACAUCAAUCGUUUUCCUGAAAGGAAUUUAUCCUGCAGGUGCUUUUGAGAGAAGGAAGUACAUGAAUUUGGUUGUUCAUAGAACUCGGCACCCUGAGCUCAGAGAUUAUAUCCAUUCUGCUGUCUCAGGACUUCUUCCUUUUAUCAAAAGGAUAUCUCCUGCUGAAGUAGCUAUGCAACUGGUAAUUCAAAUGUGGCUGAACUUAAUAGAUGGAACAUGUACUCAAGCUUAAAUAAGAGCCAUGGAGCACUUCCUUGGACUUCUAGAAAUGAUAUGACUCUGCGUUCUGCAAUGGCUGUCGAGUUGUCAAUCUUCUUGAAUGAUAAAAGGUUGCUAUCCACACAAGUAAAAGCACCUGCCCAAGCAAGGCAAAUGGUAUGGAGCACUUAGAGUUUCCAUGACAAGUCCAGGACUUAUCUAUGAGCCUUAUGCACCUCGUGAAAAAGUUCCAUUUUUUCAAGAGGUUAGUAAUUUCUUUUAUUAUUCUUCGAAAUUGUUGUACAAGCCUUCAGAGUAAUGGAACUCUACUGAGAGUUAGUAGCAGUUUUAUGCACGAGCGGCAAUAAUAAAAAUAUUAUUAUAAACUUGUGGAUUGAGCAUUUCGAUCAGUUAAUUCCGAGAUUUGUUUGGAGUAGCUUUCCCCUCACUCAAGAGGCAUCAGUUGUCAAGAAAAAGAGGUACUGUCGUGCACCAGAUAUUUACCCAGCUUAUCUUCUUUGUAUUUUCUUUUCCCAAAUCUAUUUAGCUGAUUUGUUUUCAUGUAUCCUCUUUUUUUUUUUUUUUUUGGCAUUCAGUGGUUGAAGUUUCAGGUUUCUUUCAAAUCAUACAUACCCUGUUGUGUUAACUAUCUUACUUACGCAUUGUAAAGAUUUUUCAAUUCGGACAUAGUGUUCUUUUGCAUCUGCUUUAUCUUUGUCUUAAAAAUCUAAUCUUGGUGCAUCAUGAAUCCAUUCUAAUCUAGAUAUUAAGAAUAAUUAUAGAUAUUCACUAAUCCCAUUAUCUAAGAUAAGUUCUAAUAAGCUUGAGUCUUGCAGGCUUUAAUGGAUGAAGCAAGGUUUUGGGGAGCUUUUGGAUUAUACGCUACAAUAAAUGUGGUUAUUUCGUUCCUGACAUUGUGGUGGCUGCAGUAAUUGGAGUUAUGACCAGUUGGUCUGUAGGCCCUCUGGUACCUAUUUGUGGUCGCUGGUUAGCCAGGUCAUCCAUUUUGCAAGUCUUAUUGCAUCCUAGUGUGCUAGACUUGGCUCCGUCAUCUCAGUUCUUUCCAUAUAGCACGGCUGCACCCAAGAGAGUUGUCUUCCAGCAUACUUUUCUUACUGCAGGUAUCCAAACUAGCACAAGUUAUCAUGUGAAAUGAAGAUCAUACUCUCUCUCUCUCUCUCUCUCGCCAUUGAUAUAUUCCAAGCUUGUUCGUACAUGUUUAGCUGUACACCUACUGGUAUUUGAUAGUUGAAAAUAGAGAGAUCUGUUUGGUUAGUGAGAAAAUUAAGAUAAGAGAGAUUGUUGUUAUCAUAUUUUGAACGAUUUGCUUUGGGUGUUCUAAGCCUUAUCUUCAACAAUACUGUUUUUGAUGAUGAUUAUCAGUUCUUUGUAGGAAUGUGGAUUUUUUAUGUUAAUUUUUUUUUUUUUGGCUUUUUGGUUGAAUGAUAUUUAAGUAGGAUAAAGGCUAGGUCUUGAGGUUUAAUUUUUAGGAAUGAUGGAAAAAGAAACAAUGAGUUUAUAGUUGGUUGUUUGGACAUUCCCAUUGAAUAAAUCUACAUCACAGUCCAGCUAGCCGGGACAAUUUCCAUUUGGUUUUUGAUUCUUCGAUCCUUUUGGUUUCGGACGUGGUUGAUAAUCAGUACAAAUUGUAUAUAAUUGUUAUUUCAAAUACUUUGCCUUAAAACAAAACAACGAGAGCCUCCAGAGUCCGUGCAGCCAUCAAUUAACCUCAACCUCAAUUGGUGCAGCCACUGCCCUUUCUCUCCCUCUCACUCUCAGCAGUAAGACCAAUUCUUUCUUACUUUCUUGUAUCAAGUUUUGAAUGCUUUUGUUUUUCUUGUCUCAUUCAAUUUCAGCUUCUGGGUUAAAGCUAAUAUAACUGAUUUAGGUUUCAGAUUGCUUUUCAAGCUAUGCAAGUGUGUGAUUGUAUCUCAAUUUUUGGGUUUUUCUUUCUCUUAUGAUCUUCCCUUUUAAAUUCUUGUUCUUUCAUCGCAUUUUUUGUAUCUGUUACUGGGCCUUUUUAAAGUUUGAGCUGAAAGGUAGCUACUUCUUUUUCAGUCAUUUGUCUUCUUUAUUUUAAGGUGUCGGCGGCAAAAUGGGACAAGAGGCAGCUACACUUGAGGAUUCUCCAGUUGAGUCCUUGCUGGAGGUAGCCUACUCCCUUUUCCAAACCUCAAUUGCAUUUUUGGACUAUUGAAAUGAUAUCUAAUGUUUUCUAAGGUCGAUUAAGAGGUGAUUCUCUCAGUGGGACACAACGUAUGAUGAAUUUUGGUGACAAAUACACCUAUUUCUAGUUGUUUAUCACUAACGUACUGAAGCUAUAGAGAUUAACGGGUAAUCAUUUCUAAGCUAAACUUAUCACUUGUAUAUAUCAUAUCUAGUGUCAAUUGUGUAAUGCUGUUAUUACUUCUGCACAGACCAAAUUUCAUCAAAUUACUAAACAAGUGUAAAUCUUGCAGGCCAAUUGCGAGUGAGACAUUUGAGGUUUUAUUGAAGCCAAUGGCAGCUGAAGGCUAAGAGCUAUCGAGAAUAUGAAUGUUUUUUUAUUCAUGUGUAGCUAGCUAGGAAUGCUCUUGUUUGGUGCAUUAUCUAGUUACUUGAUUUUAUGGAUGCUUGAAUAAUGGUACUUGAAUGAUAUGGAUUAGAAUACUGUUUAUAUGGUAAUAUAUCGAGCAUUAUU